GUUUGAUUAUGGCUCAGGAUGAACGCUGGCGGCAUGCCUAAUACAUGCAAGUCGAACGGAGUGAAGCCUUCGGGUUUCAUUCAGUGGCGAACGGGUGAGUAAUACGCAGGGAACCUGGCCAUGGCAGGGGGAUACACUCUGGAAACGGAGCAUAAGACCCCAUAGGCAGUAAGGCGGCAUCGCCUUACUGUUAAAGAAAGCUGAAAGGCUUUGGCGAUGGAUGGACCUGCGGUGCAUUAGCUUGUUGGUGAGGCAACGGCUUACCAAGGCGAUGAUGCAUAGCCGGCCUGAGAGGGCGGACGGCCACACUGGGACUGAGACACGGCCCAGACUCCUGCGGGAGGCAGCAGUAGGGAAUUUUCGUCAAUGGGCGCAAGCCUGAACGAGCAAUGCCGCGUGAGUGAGGAAGGUCUUCGGACUGUAAAGCUCUGUUGCCGGGGAAAAAGGGGAAAUGCAGGAAAUGGCAUUUCAUGGAUGGUACCCGGCCAGAAAGCCACGGCUAACUACGUGCCAGCAGCCGCGGUAAUACGUAGGUGGCGAGCGUUAUCCGGAAUGAUUGGGCGUAAAGGGUGCGCAGGCGGUCUGCUAAGUCUGAAGGCAAAGGGAUGAGCUCAACUCAUUUAUGAUUCAGAAACUGGCAGACUUGAGGACAGGAGAGGGCGGUGGAACUCCAUGUGUAGCGGUAAAAUGCGCAGAGAUAUGGAAGAACACCAGUGGCGAAGGCGGCCGCCUGGCCUGUGACUGACGCUGAGGCACGAAAGCGUAGGGAGCAAAUAGGAUUAGAUACCCUAGUAGUCCACGCCGUAAACGAUGAGGAGCAGGUGUUGGGAGUGAAAUCUCAGUGCCGAAGCCAACGCAGUGACUCCUCCGCCUGGGGAGUAUGCACGCAAGUGUGAAACUCAAAGGAAUUGACGGGGGCCCGCACAAGCGGUGGAGUAUGUGGUUUAAUUCGAAGCAACGCGAAGAACCUUACCAGGUUUUGACAUCGGAUGCGAAGGCGCAGAGAUGCGCUGGAGGCUAUCAUCCAGACAGGUGGUGCAUGGUUGUCGUCAGCUCGUGUCGUGAGAUGUUCAGUUAAGUCUGGCAACGAGCGCAACCCCCGUGGUAUGUUACUAACGCAUUUGGGCGAGGACUCAUAUCAGACUGCCGGUGACAAACCGGAGGAAGGCGGGGAUGACGUCAAAUCAUCAUGCCCCUUAUGACCUGGGCUACACACGUACUACAAUGGCGUCUACAGAGGGAAGCGACCCUGAGAAGGGAAGCGAAACCGGAAAAGGGCGUCCCAGUUCGGAUUGAAGUCUGCAACCCGACUUCAUGAAGAUGGAAUCGCUAGUAAUCGCGGAUCAGCAUGCCGCGGUGAAUACGUUCCCGGGCCUUGUACACACCGCCCGUCAAACCAUGGAAGCCGGCAACGCCCGAAGCCGGUGGCAUAACCUUUUAGGAGUGAGCCGUCGAAGGCGGGGCCGAUGACUGGGGUUAAGUCGUAACAAGGU
rnacentral:rRNA from 1 species